rnacentral:rRNA from 1 species
UACGUAGGGACCGAGCGUUGUCCGGAAUCAUUGGGCGUAAAGAGCGUGUAGGCGGCCUUUUAAGUCCUGCGUGAAAUCCUGCGGCUCAACCGCAGACGGUCGUGGGAAACUGGAAGGCUAGAGUGCGGGAGAGGAGAGUGGAAUUCCCGGUGUAGCGGUGAAAUGCGCAGAUAUCGGGAGGAACACCGAUGGCGAAGGCAGGUCUCUGGGCCGAUACUGACGCUGAGGAGCGAAAGCGUGGGGAGCGAACAGG